GACGAACGCUGGCGGCGUGCCUAACACAUGCAAGUCGAGCGGGGAUUUAAGUGGAAGUUCUUCGGAAUGGAGAUUUAAAUUCUAGCGGCGGACGGGUGAGUAACGCGUGAACAAUCUGUCCCGGACAGGGGGAUAACACUUGGAAACAGGUGCUAAUACCGCAUAAGACCACGGCCUCGCAUGGGGCUGAGGUAAAAGGAGCAAUCCGGUUCGGGGUGAGUUCGCGUCCGAUUAGCUAGUUGGUGAGGUAACGGCCCACCAAGGCGACGAUCGGUAGCCGGCCUGAGAGGGUGAACGGCCACAUUGGAACUGAGAGACGGUCCAAACUCCUACGGGAGGCAGCAGUGGGGAAUAUUGGGCAAUGGGCGAAAGCCUGACCCAGCAACGCCGCGUGAGGGAAGAAGGUUUUCGGAUUGUAAACCUCUGUCCUAUGCGACGAAGGAAGUGACGGUACCAUAGGAGGAAGCCCCGGCUAACUACGUG
rnacentral:rRNA from 1 species